UAGAUUUGAUAGGACUGGCACCUCCUUUUGGUAAAACCUGUUGUGCAAUAGCGUAUACUGAGAAGAGAAUAACAACAAAAGUUUGUUGCCAGCUGAUAGGGCGUUGUUAUAGGUCACACAAAUGAAUGUGGCAUUGCCAUCAUGGCAGCUUAGGAAUGCUGGUAGAAAAUUCCCAGCUGACUGUAAUCUGUUUGUCACUUUGUUUUAUGGAGCAUCCAUCGCUCUGCACCUGCUGAUAAGCCACAGCUCCUCCCUUUCAGUUUACUAAUGACUCAAUGGAGCUGAUUUUACCAUUUACCUGUGGGUGGAAGACUUGCAGGCAGGUGUGGUCUAAGGCUCGGUGACAUGCCUGUAUGGAUAUAUACAAUGAGGUCAUCUGUAAGAUCACUGAGCUGGAGUCAGCCUCCAGUGUCUGCCAGUACAAGAACAGCAGGCGAGAUCAGAUCAGGACGAAAUACAUACGCAUUGUCACUGUGCAACCUGAAAAGGACAAGAAUGAUGCUGAAUCUGACUGCUUGUUAAUGUAAAGUAUAAAACUGUAGCAUGCAAGGGGUGACUCUCCGGAAAAGAGAACAACGCGGCGGGAAGAGAUCCAACACUUGUUUGCUGUCUGUGAGUGUUUCUUUGGCAGUGUCUUAGCUGGUUGUUGUGACAUUGAAGUAGCAAUCAGCAAAUAUACCGCCCUAGAAGUUCGACACAUUUAUAAGCUGAGAAAAUGAUGCUGCUGCCAGGAUCGGGCUUCCAUUGUGAAUAUUAGGAGGACAGAAAGCCUACAGGUAAUUAUUUGUGGUUAUGCUUAUUAAGUGGAUAUAAAUUUGGAGGGCGGUGUCAGGCAUACACAUUAAGUUACCUCUUAUCCUGUUAAAAAAAUAACAGCAUGGAAAGUUUUCCACCCCCUGGGAAUCCUGUGCUGUUGCAGAGGAGUUCUAGAGGGCAAGAGGACCCAUAUUAAUGUAAUGCUGAACCCUCUGCCCAUCAAAUGCAGCCACUGUGCCAUCAAUUGUCACCACUGUGCCAUGCCAUCAAACGCAAC